CUCUCUAUGCCUUCCUAUAGAGUAAGGCCUGCCCAAUGUAAUUUAUCAAUGGCCGCGGUACUUUGACCGUGCGAAGGUAGCGUAAUCACUUGUUUUCUAAUUAAAAACCUGUAUGAAAGGCUACACGAAUCUUAACUGUCUCCUUCAUAAAAAAAAAAAUUAAUUUUAAUGUGAAGAAGCAUUAAUACACCUAAAAGACGAAAAGACCCUGCUGAGUUUUAGUACAAGGGCUUUUUAAUCCCUUCUGUUACUUUUGUUGGGGCGACACCGGAGUAAUAAACCCUCCUUCCUACUUAACUCGAUAAACCUACGACCCAGAAUAUUCCAAUAAAUAUUUUUGACCAUCAGAUAAAUUACCACAGGGAUAACAGCGUUAUUUUUUUUGAAAGCUCUAAUUAACAAAAAAGUUUGCGACCUCGAUGUUGGACUAAGGCCUCCCUAAGGCGCAGCCGCCUUAACAGAUAGUCUGUUCGACUAUUUAACCCUU
rnacentral:rRNA from 1 species